AUACAUUCAGGAGGCAGUGAACUGGACGAACCAUAAAAAAAAGAAGCUGAAGAAAGCAGUGAGGCUUUGAUGACUCCUGGUAAUGCUCUACCUGCUCCAUAUGAUAUUGAACAAGCUAACACGGUUAUGGAGGAGCUUCAGGGCAGCAUGUUACCAUCGUUGGACUGAGGCGACAUACAUACAGAGUAUGCACGGUCUAAAAUGAGGAAGAUUUAGUUGAAAAGCGUUCAUUAGUUCGGUAGGGACUCCGUUCGCUGCUGCUCUGAACUUUUAUUGCAUUGAUCAAUCUGGGGCUGAUUUUUCCUUGCAGGAGGUGGAUGGAGUUAACUACGGGGCUGUAUUGAACUCGCCAAAAUGACGUCUACUCCAAACACAUUUGAAAGGUCUCAAAAAAUACUAUAGGGAGUCAUAAAGCCAAUUCUCCGCCACUUUUGGGCUUUGUGUCCUAAGCGAGCUACUCUAUGGCACAUGCGUGUGUCAUAGCAAGGGUGAGCGUUACAAGACGAGUGUCUCAGGUGCUUCCUUUGAAAUUUGAUUUUCAAGGACAAUGUCAAACCGCACGAAUGUGCUGACAUUGCGCCCAUGCCCAUGUGUUAGAGGUUUGAUUAUGCACCUAAUAUCUGGUACAGAGUCCAUAAAUAAUGACAUGAAUACGAUAGGGUCUAAUGUCUCGAUGGAACCCAAAUGGAUGGAUGUUUGGGAUGUCUGAUGUUAUGAAUGGCACAGGGGCUCAUUUUCAAUAGUAUGUCCGAGCGAGUCGAUAGCCAAUGACAUCCCGAUAUUUGAGAUGCCAUCAUGAUAUGUGGGUUAUAUUGUAGGUUCCAAGAUGACAAGAUGAGAUCGACGUUGCAUUGAGAGACCUUGGCUCCCGAGUAGAGGCAAGAUCAAACCAAAUGACUUGACCUAGUGUAGAGGCAAGUUGAUUAAGUUGCAAAUGAUUGAACAUGCACGCACGGGCGGCAUGUGUGAUCGAACAAGUUUUGAUUCCACACAAGUUGUGUUUAGUUAGAUAACACGAACCUCGUCUAAGGUUCGACGAAACCACAAAAACGGGUGAAGGAUACAUAUAAGGCUUGGGUUUCUCUCAAGACUCAUCGUGGGUAUGUCAAGAUCAUGGGGCCACAUGGUUGAAAAUGUUGGACCGGGACACGGGACACGAGACACACACAAAGGGCAUAUCUGUCCAAUUGGUGUUUGAACUUCUAGAUUUGUGUUAUAUUUGAUCACCUUUUAAAAAAUUAAAUAUUCUCUUAUAAAUUAAAUAAGAGUUUGUUUA